rfam:Prevotella sp. CAG:474 genomic scaffold, scf259
GCAGUUUCCCGGCCCUGCCGCUGGCUCUCUUGCGAGGGCGAGAGGAAAGUCCGGGCAACGCAGAGCGCUCCACUUCCGAAAAUAGAAGCUAUUGGUGACAGUAGGGGAAAGUAGAAGAAAAUAACCACCAUGAUACUAUAUGUUGUUUUGACAGCGUAUGUGUCGGGAAAGGGUGAGAAGGUAGUGUAAGAGACUACCAGUCGGCGGGUGAUCGUCGAGCUGUACUUCCUGGAGGUUGCAAGUUCAUGUAAACCGUCGUCUGAAAGCUGCUCGCUUGAUGUCUUUGACAACGGCGGAGGGUAGAAUGCUUGAGCUGUGAGGUGACUUGCAGACUAGAUAAAUGACAGGGCUCCACUUGUGGAUACAGAACCCGGCUUAUCAGGAAACUGCCUUU